rnacentral:rRNA from 1 species
UCGGGAAAAUUUUGCAAUACACGUAAGUGUGACAGAGCAAGCCAGAGUGCUUUUCCGUAAAGGAACAGCUUUUGUGGGAUGUAAAAAGUCCCACGAAUAAGGACCGGGCAAGACUGGUGCCAGCCGCCGCGGUAAUCCCAGCGGUCCAAGUCGCAGCCACAUUUGUUGGGUCUAAAAUAUCCGUAGCUUGCCUUGUAAGUCUCUUGUGAAAUCGGGCCUCUUAAGGGUCCGGCGUGCAAGAGAUACUGCUUGGCUAGAGACCGGGAGACGCAAGGAGUACAGUUAGGGUAGCGGUAAAAUGUGUUGAUCCUUUCUGGACUAACAAUAGCGAAGGCACCUUGCGAUAACGGUUCUGACAGUGAGGGAUGAAGGCUAGGGGCGCAAAGUGGAUUAGAUACCCGUGUAGUCC